rnacentral:lncRNA from 1 species
AGUAACAGAUUGUUCCUGGCGGAACCUCUCAUGAAUUCUCUAAUAAAGGGGUUGUGGAUCCAAAUGACUACCACAAUAAAUCUCCCACUAUAGCAAUCCUAUGCAUUUCUACGCAGAAGUAAAUCUAUUUAAUUUACAGAUAAAUGAGUAUCGGUCAUGUCGUAAGACUGUCUUGUAUGGUAUUAAUAUCUUAAAUUUUAAAACGUAUAGUGCUAUAUAAUAGGUGUCCCAGACCUGGCUUCCUAGAGAUGCGUGGACUACGAAUCCGAUCCUCCCCAGGUAACAGGACCGAUCCAUCCGAGAGGGGCCAGGGAAGGCUGGAUUAAAUGAAGGCCACCGAUAAAAGAAGCCGAGGGACCUUUCAUUCUGCUUGUUAUUUAUGACUACCAGCUCCUGAAUGAGGGAGAGGAAUCAUCUCACAGUGGGGGGAGGUGCAGUCCUGUUUUCUAAGAGCGAUCGCACCUGAUCCCGGUGGCGAUGUCAAACUUUGUCAAGGAGUAAUCCUAAGGCAGGGGUGUGCGGUAUCUGUACUCGAAUAUAAGUCGGCAAGCUUGUGAGUCUUGCACAGCCCUUCAUCAGGCUAAGCAUCGCGGAGCUGAACCUGGGGCGGCGUAACACUGGCGAGUUUCUUUUAUUAAGGGGCCGUGGAUUUCUAACUCUCUCUAUUUGUGCAGCGUCUGCUCUUCCCUCGUCAAAAAGUACGACCGGGGCAUUUCGGAAUAAAAGGGAGAGCCCUCCCUUCCAGUCGGAUUUCCUCCUUAAUGUGUAAAGGGAGGUUUCGUAGAACGGUGCCGGUGCGAUCAGAGGCGCGCAGAGGCUGGACGUGGGGAGGGGAGGGGGGAGGCACGUUUACUUUUCCGAAGCGAUCCCCGUUUGCUCAGCCGGCUUUUACUCCCUGAGGGAAAAACCGUCCUGCCAAUGAAGGGUGCAAAACAGCGAUGUUUAAGCCUCAGGUCGACAUUUGACACCUCCACGGCGUGGAUGACAUCGAUCCUUGUAAUCACCGCGAUUUGGUGUCUUCAGAGCCGAGGCUUUUCUUGUAAAGAAAAACAUUUCAAGGAUUUCAUUUCAUAAAAGCCUUGAAAGUACCACAAGACUUUGUUAUGCAUCAUCAAGUUGGAACUGACUUACAGUGACUCUGAUAUGACUUUCAAGGUAAGUGAGAUAUUUACCAAUUCCAGUGAGUUUUCAUGGCUCAGUAGGGAUUCAAACCCAGACCUCAGAGUCCUAGUUAAUCACUCGACUCAUUAUCCACCACAAGAUUAGUUAGUAGAGUUCCCCCCCUCUGCAACAAAUAACAGGAUCCUUUUCUUCCAGAAAUUGAA